AUAUAAAAUAUUUUUUAGUUUAAGAUAUAAACUUAGCCUUGCUGGGAAUAGAGCUAAGUACAAAUUAAUGUAUAAUUGAAUGUUAACUCAUUACAUGCUAUAUCCAGGCCAGAAUUUCUAUGUCACUCUGUUUGGCCUGAAAUCGAACGAAGGUACAAUUGAAUUGUCCAACGGUGUAGACUGGCAUAUACUGUGUUCGGAUGGUUGGGAUGAUGCAGAUGCUGCUGUGGCCUGUCGUAUGUUAGGCCAUUCAGGGAAUGGAGCGAGAGCAAUGUCUAAUACCAUUAUUACUGGCCAAGCACAUACUAUUUGGUGGUUUCAGUUUCAUUGCAAAGGUGAUGAAAAUGUGUUAUCCGAAUGCGAAAUCAGCUACCUGUCUUCACUAACAUGCAAAAGAGCUGGAGUCCAUUGUUCUGAAGAAAAGGUUGUUCCAGAUUUCUUUCUAAAAGCAACAAGAAAAGGAAUAUCGAAGACGAACCCUUUUACAAUGAGUGGCUAUGUCAACUUGAAUAACCCGUGUAGAAAUGAUUUCAACAAAGAUGUGGUAUAUGAUUCUGUUUACGACCAGUUCAUGUACUUCAAAUCCGGAUCACUUUUUGGAUGCAGAUGGGACGAUAAAGAUGUAGAGAUUCGUAAAAACACUAGCGUGUUGAGUUAUCCGGCCCUGGAUUCAGAUGAUCGACUUUUGUUUGGCUAUUUAGACAAUGACAUAGUAUCCCUGAGAUUAGAUGAUGCCGCCUCUGAAUUUGUGGUUGUAGUUCCUGGAACAAGCGUUGGAACAGAACUGGUUCUAGAUACAGAACGGAAUGAAAUUUAUUGGUGGAGACCGUAUUUUCACAACGUCAUAAAACGAGUUCGUUACAAUGGAGAUGCAGAGAUAGAUUUUUGGAGAUCAUCCAGCUAUUUCAAAAUGUUCACUUUUAACGGUGACAAUAUAUUCAGUAUUGAUUCGCGUUAUCGGGGAAUUACCAGGAUUCAUCACAACACAACUGUUGCUGACGUCUUGUACUCGCACUAUGGUGUAAUGGAUGACUGCGGUAAGCUGUAUGCAGAUCAUGAAUGGAUUUACUGUAUAGGAUAUAAAAAUAUGAAUAUACUGCGGUUACAGAAGGAUGGAAAGGGAAGUAGUUCCUAUGGUCAAUCGGAGUCGGGUAUUCUCUACCACUACAGUCCAAAAUCAUCAUGUAAGACUUUAUUCUGUUCAUGCUUACGCUACAAACCUGUAUAUCACACGUCUUCAUUUCCUUUAUUUUGUUCCCAUUAUUCAUAAAUGAUAUUGCCUGAGCCGUUUCGCCUUCAGAACUUUCAGAAGCCAUUUAUAUGUUAUACACCCAACUAAGUCCCAGUAAUGUUUGACAAUCAAUAGACAUGGACUCAGUGCACAAAUGGUGCUCUCAAGUGUGUUGUAAAAAAGGAAAAGGACGGAGGGAUUUUUCCGUUUCAUUGUGAAAAAAUCCAGCAAUAACAUUUUAACUGUCGUUAAAGAAAGACACCUUAUGCAUCCUUAUGUAUUCACUAUGACAACUAGCCUUCACAACAGAAAUUGUACAAAUAUUUCAAUUUGAAAUAUAUUAACAUUAUUACAAAAUAUGACCUCAUAUUUUCUGGGUUCCCAGCGAUGUGGGAGUAUUGGGUAAUGCAAACCGCGAAAGCAGCUUUAUUGCUACCACGUGUGGAUUCUAAAUUUCAUUUUACUGAUUUUAAAGCAAUUGUAACAAUGUUUUGAGGAUCACAUUGGCAAAAUCCCUGGAAUCAAUACAUAGACAGUAAAUUACAUUCUGCAAAGCAUUAUUUGGUGAAUGGCAUCCUAACUACAAAGUAGUCGCCCGAACAAAGGAGGCGCCGAGUCCAACAAUUACUGUCUCUACAAGUUCUCUGAAAGUUGUUUUUCUUUUUGAAAACAUAUGAGUCUCCAUAACCAUUUCUAAUCAAGUUGACGUUUGUCUUUUAACUUUGUUUGAUGUCAUUUUUCAUUUUGCAUUUGUUUUUGUCGACCAUUAAUUGGCCUCUAUGACCUCCCCCUUGUUGAUGGACCGUGAAGUAUAUUAUAAUAAUGUUAACAAAAACAGGAAAAGAAGUACGUGUCUUAACGCAUGCUACCCUCGGUAUUGGUAUGUUAUGUGUCUUUAACAACCAUUCCGUAAAUCACUUCCACCCUUGAUCCAUUAGCAAAGAUAAGAGUAACUAUUACAUGGUUUUUGUAGAGUCUGUUUACCGUUAUCUGUUACAAGCUGUUAUUGAUAUACAUUUUCUGCAAUAAACAUACUAAAUCGACUUACAAUGAGGUAAGACAAAUGGAACCAUAUAAGGAUAUACUCCUGGGGUAAGUACGUGUGAUUGUGGGUCUGCAAGAUAGACUAGAGGGAGCCCUGUGAUAGGUGAGUACACAUCCAUCGCAAUCAGGUAUAAUGUGUUUGUUCUUGUGAUCUUGUUGACAUGUCAUGGUGUUUCAUUUUGUCGUCACUUAUAUACAUUAUACCAAGAGGAGGAAUUUUAACCCAAGUAGUACAUAACAGACUGUUAGUAAAACGUCAACAAGUUUGUAAAUAAAUCUUUGGUUUCCUGUUUAACAAUAACUCAGAAAAAUGUAUAUUUGAUGUAUUAAAUACAUGAAAAGAAAUUGUUGACAAAAUGAUGUUUUAAACAGAUUUAUUGUAAUUUCAAUGAUUUAAGCAUAUUAAAAGGCAAUAUUGUGAAUUACAAGCGUAAAAACAAUGUGAAAGAAUACACAAUAAUAUUAAUACUCUGUAAAUUGUAUUACGUUAUCUGUCGGCGACAUGAACUGGUUGAGAAUGACAAAGAUACGGGUACAGAGACUUAAAUAAUCCGAAGACUCACUGAUUUCAACGCUCUACGCUCCUGUUUUUUUGGGUUUUAACAUCUUCAAAGACGAUAAAAUCGCACAGAGACGUUUUCAACGUUGUCAGCAGAUGGCUCGAGCACAUCUUACUGAAAUGUUGUAACCUGGACAUGGCAACACAACCCUAUCUGGUACGCAUAGUUAUGAUUGAUAUCAUUAAGAAAAAGAAACCAUGUGAAAUGUUUGAGAUGCAGUAAAACUGUCUGAACGGAAUAAUGCAGCUUACCACCAAAACAACUGUUUAAUUGGUGGUUUAGUAAAAAUAAUAAUCAUAUCAAAUUAACGAUACAAACUUCCAUACAGCAGCGCAAUAACGCCUACUAAAAUGGCGAAGCUCAAACCUCUAGUCAUGUCAGAUUGUUUCACUUUUCUUCUUAGAUGCUGUGGUGCUUUGUAUGAAGGACUGUAAGCUGUCCCGGACAGUUCUGCACUGGAGACGGAGCCGGGCCGGAGUUGAUGUAAUAUUUCCGUUGCUGCACGUAUCCCGGCCUGGACCCCGCCGGACAUGUACCCAUCCCAUUCUAUGGCGCCAUCAGCGCCGGCAAAGUG
rnacentral:misc_RNA from 1 species